rnacentral:antisense_RNA from 1 species
CUUCAACGACCCCAACCACAACGGACGAUCCGGAUCACGAUCCUGGCCAUAGGUCGCCAGCAGCGCCUGCGCCUC